GACGAACCGUGCGAACGUUGUUCGGAAUCACUGGGCUUAAAGGGCGCGUAGGCGGGCGCGUAAGUCAGGGGUGAAAGCCCACGGCUCAACCGUGGAAGGGCCUUUGAUACUGCGUGUCUGGAGGGAGGUAGGGGCGUGCGGAACUUCCGGUGGAGCGGUGAAAUGCGUAGAUAUCGGAAGGAACACCGGUGGCGAAAGCGGCGCGCUGGACCUCUUCUGACGCUGAGGCGCGAAAGCCAGGGGAGCAAACGGG
rnacentral:rRNA from 1 species